rnacentral:rRNA from 1 species
GACGAACGCUGGCGGCGUGCUUAACACAUGCAGGUCGAGCGGUAAGGCCCUUUCGGGGGUACACGAGCGGCGAACGGGUGAGUAACACGUGGGUGACCUGCCCUCAGCUCUGGGAUAAGCCUGGGAAACCGGGUCUAAUACCGGAUAUGACUCCAUGACGCAUGUUGUGGGGUGGAAAGCCUUGUGCGGCUGAGGAUGGGCCCGCGGCCUAUCAGCUUGUUGGUGGGGUNAUGGCCUACCAAGGCGACGACGGGUAGCCGGCCUGAGAGGGCGACCGGCCACACUGGGACUGAGACACGGCCCAGACUCCUACGGGAGGCAGCA